AGUGAACGCUGGCGGUAGGCCUAACACAUGCAAGUCGAACGGCAGCACAGGAGAGCUUGCUCUCUGGGUGGCGAGUGGCGGACGGGUGAGGAAUACAUCGGAAUCUACUCUGUCGUGGGGGAUAACGUAGGGAAACUUACGCUAAUACCGCAUACGACCUACGGGUGAAAGCAGGGGACCUUCUGGCCUUGCGCGAUUGAAUGAGCCGAUGUGGGAUUAGCUUGUUGGCGGGGUAAAGGCCCACCAAGGCGACGAUCCGUAGCUGGUCUGAGAGGAUGAUCAGCCACACUGGAACUGAGACACGGUCCAGACUCCUACGGGAGGCAGCAGUGGGGAAUAUUGGACAAUGGGCGCAAGCCUGAUCCAGCCAUACCGCGUGGGUGAAGAAGGCCUUCGGGUUGUAAAGCCCUUUUGUUGGGAAAGAAAUCCAGCUGGCUAAUACCCGGUUGGGAUGACGGUACCCAAAGAAUAAGCACCGGCUAACUUCGUGCCAGCCGCCGCGGUAA
rnacentral:rRNA from 1 species